rnacentral:rRNA from 1 species
UGCAGUCGAACGAACCUUCGGGUUAGUGGCGGACGGGUGAGUAACGCGUGAGAAUCUGCCCUCAGGAGGGGGAUAACGGUUGGAAACGACCGCUAAUACCCCAUAUGCCGAGAGGUGAAAUGAAUUUCGCCUGAGGAUGAGCUCGCGUCUGAUUAGUUAGUUGGUGGGGUAAUGGCCUACCAAGACAUCGACCAGUAGCUGGUCUGAGAGGAUGAUCAGCCACACUGGGACUGAGACACGGCCCAGACUCCUACGGGAGGCAGCAGUGGGGAAUUUUCCGCAAUGGGCGAAAGCCUGACGGAGCAACGCCGCGUGAGGGAUGAAGGCCUCUGGGCUGUAAACCUCUUUUAUCAAGGAAGAAGAUCUGACGGUACUUGAUGAAUAAGCCACGGCUAAUUCCGUGCCAGCAGCCGCGGUAAU